rnacentral:rRNA from 1 species
CCCUUAGAUGUUCUGGGCCGCACGCGCGCUACACUGACGAAUGCAACGAGCUUAUAACCUUGGCCGAAAGGUCUGGGUAAUCUCCAAAUUUCGUCGUGAUGGGGAUAGAUUAUUGCAAUUAUUAAUCUUCAACGAGGAAUGCCUAGUAAGCGCAAGUCAUCAGCUUGCGUUGAUUACGUCCCUGCCCUUUGUACACACCGCCCGUCGCUGCCCGGAACUGAGCCAUUUCGAGAAAAAUGGGGACAGACUGCUUGUGGGUGCGCAAGCACUUCUUGCAGAUUGAAACCAUCUUGAUCGGUAUGGCUUGAACCGGGCAAAAGUCGUAACA